UAGGAUAGUGUGUCUAGUCCUGACUCAUCUUUUGACGAGACUCUGAUUUCCUGGCUAUCAUGGCCUACAGGAACUUCGGUCUCUGCUCAGUCCAUAGUAAGUGGCGGCCAUUUCCUCCCAUCUACAGCUUGGCCUCGGGGUCUGGGAGAGCCAAUGGGCCGUCACCACAGGAUAUGUGUAAUCAGCUGAUAGGGGAACCAUCAGAAGGUCUGGGCAUGGAGGAUAGAUGCCACAUCUGUCCCUGGCACCCUCAAACCCAAACAAAUGUCACUGGAAAUGAACACUGAUGACAGUCGUUGAGUUGGAUCAUGCGAAGGGAAAAUGAAAGUUUUACAGCAGCUCGUGUAGCAGUUCAAGAUUCGUCAUUCCAAGACAAGCAUCUCUGCAGAGAACCGUGAGAGUUUUGUCGUAUUUUGUGCACCUUGCAGCUUUGACAGCUGCUCGCCCAGAGGGAGGGAAAGACCUGCUUUCAUCCAUGGAUGUUCACCUGACCCUUUUUGAUCCUCUAAAAUGACUGUCUGCUGAGCCAUCAGAGCCAUCAAACAAUCUGGCUUCCUGGAGGGGUUGCGAGACAAGAACAUUAAAAAGGCUGAAACAGGAUGGUUUAGCGUUCAGGGGGUUUGUAGCUGUAAUUGGUAGGUAGAGUUUAGCAGCCUCAACUAGAUGAUGGAGGAAGGUUUGUAAUUUGGCCCAGUACAACCCUCCCCUCAACUCAUUACAAAGCUUUUAUGGGGAAAAUGAGAGAUGGGCCAGAAAAUGCACAUGCAGAUGAUGAUAUUUUUGGUCCAGAUGCAUAUUGUGUUUUUGUAGUUUAUUAGGUGGGGCUAGUACAAAUAAAAAUGAAGAUUCUGUC